GCUGGGUAAGGUGACACAUGCCUGUAGUCCCAGCUACUUGGGAGGCUGAGGCAGGAGGAUGUCCAUCCAGUGUCAGCACUAAGUUCAGCAUCAAUAUGGUAACCUCCCGGGAGCGGUGGGACCACCAGAUUGCCUAAGGAGGGGUGAACUGGCCCAGGUCAGAAAUGGAGCAGGUCAAAACUUCUGUGCUGAUCAGUAGUGGGAUCGUGACUAUGAAUAGCCAGUACAUUUCAGCCUGGGU
rnacentral:SRP_RNA from 1 species